rnacentral:lncRNA from 1 species
UGGGGUCUGGGGAGGGUAGUGAGUACGCAGACCUUAUCCUACCUGGAGAGGUAGAGAAGCUGUUUUGAAAGACCCUCGGCUCAAGAAAAGGUGAAAAGGAAGAAUAGGGGAGAAGAAGAGGCUGUUUUGAAAGACCCUCGGCUCAAGAAAAGGUGAAAAGGAAGAAUAGGGGAGAAGAAGAGAAGGAAAGAGGGGGGAGGGGGGAGAAAGGCGAUAAGCAAAGAGGAGAAAAAGUAGCAUCAAAUAGUAACCAUCAGGGAGCAACAAUAUCCAAUAAAAG